rnacentral:rRNA from 1 species
AUGCACGCUGGCGGCGUGCUUAACACAUGCAAGUCGAACGGUGAACACGGAGCUUGCUCUGUGGGAUCAGUGGCGAACGGGUGAGUAACACGUGAGCAACCUGCCCCUGACUCUGGGAUAAGCGCUGGAAACGGCGUCUAAUACUGGAUAUGUGACGUGACCGCAUGGUCUGCGUUUGGAAAGAUUUUUCGGUUGGGGAUGGGCUCGCGGCCUAUCAGCUUGUUGGUGAGGUAAUGGCUCACCAAGGCGUCGACGGGUAGCCGGCCUGAGAGGGUGACCGGCCACACUGGGACUGAGACACGGCCCAGACUCCUACGGGAGGCAGCAGUGGGGAAUAUUGCACAAUGGGCGCAAGCCUGAUGCAGCAACGCCGCGUGAGGGAUGACGGCCUUCGGGUUGUAAACCUCUUUUAGCAGGGAAGAAGCGAAAGUGACGGUACCUGCAGAAAAAGCGCCGGCUAACUACGUG